UGUGUAGGCGGUUGUUUAAGUUUGGUGUGAAAUCUCCCGGCUCAACCGGGAGGGUGCGCCGAAUACUGAGCGACUAGAGUGCGGGAGAGGAAAGUGGAAUUCCUGGUGUAGCGGUGAAAUGCGUAGAUAUCAGGAGGAACACCGGUGGUGUAGACGGCUUUCUGGACCGUAACUGACGCUGAGACACGAAAGCGUGGGUAGCAAACAGGAUUAGAUACCCUGGUAGUCCACGCCCUAAACGAUGCAUAUUUGGUGUGGGCAGUUCAUUCUGUCCGUGCCGGAGCUAACGCGUUAAAUAUGCCGCCUGGGGAGUACAGUCGCAAGGCUGAA
rnacentral:rRNA from 1 species